GGUCCCAUGGUCUAGUGGUUAGGACAUUGGACUCUGAAUCCAGUAACACGAGUUCAAAUCUCGGUGGGACCU
rnacentral:tRNA from 1 species